UGGUGAUCGUGAUAUUUGUUGAGGGAGGCCUGUUACUAUCUAUUUUAUAGCACUGUCUUUCUAUCUCAAUUUUGCAUAUAGAGAAGACAUGAAAGAACCACAUGAUCAGGAUACCGAUGAGGGAAAAUCAGAUGGAUCAAAGAGUGAUGGGAAGCAGUCUUCCAAGUCUGAAGGGAAAUCUCAUACAAAAGAAGCCUUAGAAGAUAUCACAGAUGAAACAAUUACCGAAGGGGAAGAAUCAUAUCUAGAGGAAGAAGGUUCAGAUCUGGAAAAUGAGGAGGCAAGUUCAGGUUCAUCAGGAUAUGACUAUUCAGAUAGCACUAAAACAUCUCAAGAACCUGCUGCCCCAGGAGCAGAAGAGGCAGAGGAGGAAGUUAAGAAAAUAUCAGAGUCUUUCUUCUACAAUUACACGGAGCUUGCUUCAAUGCCUUUUGUGACUCCAGAUUCUGGCAUACCUCUGAAUUUCCUUGAGCUCGUACAUUCUUUUGGCUAUGACUGCAGAAAACGAGCCAACCUACAACUUCUAGACAGCAAUACCAUAUUGUACGUUGCUGGGAAUCAGCUGGUCCUUCUGGAUAUUAAAACCAAGGAACAAAUCUACCUGCGAAGUAGCAGUGGUGAAGGAAUUGGUGCCAUUGCGGUAUGACUUUAGUGACGGUGAAAAGAAGCUCAUCUUCUUUAUUGUUCUGUGGACCAACCCUCAGUAAUUGUUAGGUGCCAACUCCAUGUGUAGCCUUAUGGGAACACAUGGGGUGCACACCAUCACCUAAGGCAUUUUCUACUCAGUCAUUAUAACCACUACCUUCGCUGACAUUGUCUUCAUGCAGUAGUUCAGACAUUAAGAUUAUUAUUAUUAUUGUUACUAUUAUCCCAUUUUACAGAUAAGGAAACUGGGGCUUUAGAGCCUUGGUGACUUCCCCACCGUUGUGCAGGUUUUUUCACAUUCAGAUUAGAAGUAGGAGUGGUUGAUUUUUUAUUGGAGUACUGAUGCAGGCAUGUGGCAGUGGGAAGGGAGAAGGUGAGGACAGUGUGAGACCCACAGAGAGGACACAGAGGCAGACGGAGUGUGGAAACAGAAUAGCAUGAGAUAUGCAACGUGGAAAGAUAAUCUCAAGUUGGCUUCUUUCUUGAUCAUUGAUAUGUAGCAUGUGUCCAUGAUAAAAGUCCCUGUCCUGAGGGGUUUUUCAAAACUAGUAAGCUUAGCAAGAGUUUAUUGUAUAGUACUAUUCAGCCAAGACUACGCAGAACACACAGUGUAGAAUUUGAAGGAAGAAUUCAUAACCUGUACAAAUUCAAAGUUUAAAAUUCAUCUAAGGAGAAAAAACUACUUUUAAAAACCUAGAUACAUAAGUACAUGAUAAUGUGGUGAUAGCUAUAUGCAAAUAACCACGGGCCCAGUGUGAAGUCAUGGGUUUUGUGGGGGGAAGUCAUUCAGAAGCUGUGAGGGAUCAGGAGCCUGACGUCCACACGACCUGCAGAGGCAAAGAGAUGUGUAAUGAUCACAUGUUCAGUUCUCAUUUUGUGACCAUUAACAGUCUUUUUCUAUUUUGUUGUAAAAUAAUGUGCUAUGAAGGCAACAAGCAGAGGUGUAGUGUGGCCAAGAAUGCUCUUCCUAAUCCUUAGCCAUCUGGAUGUUGCGUGGUUUUGUGUCCCCGGGGGUUUUAUCCCCCUGUCUGUUGUGGGGCAGUGACGGAAGCCUCUGCGCUCCUGUGCAUGGCCCCUGUCUUCCUGCAGCAGUUGUGCAUGAGGAUGAGAAGCACUUUUGCAAGGCUAUAAGAAACCUGGGAGAAAUGUGUUCGGGGCAUAUACAAUAACUUCUAGAAAAGACAGGGAGAAUUCGUAUGUUGAGUAUCCAGUUAAUGACUUCCUAACUCCAGAUUUCCACUAAAAACAAACACCCAAACUCAAGCUCAUGGCAGCUUCUACUCUGAGGAGGCAGAAACUUUUUUGCUAACUGUGGAGAAGAUAAGACCUCUAUGUCUGGCUUGGAAAUAUCAUCUUUCUUACCUCUAUUAAGUUUACAGUCAUUUGUGAUGUUUGUUCAAGAUAAUUUUUGAAAAUUGAGAUAUAAUCUCCUCUGGAAACAUGAAUUUCAUACUGCUAAGGUUUGAAUGUGUCUCCCACAGUUUAUGCCUUGGAAAUUUAAUUCCUAAUAGGACAGCGUUGGGAGAUGGGGCCUAGGAAGGCAUGGUGAGGGCAUGAGUGGAUUACUAUAGUUAUGGAGGAGGCGGGUCAGUUAGAAUGAGAGUGGGCUGCUGUGAAAGUGAAGCUGGCUUCUUUUGCUUUCUCGCUCUCACCCUUGCCCUUUCUCCUUCCCUUAUGAGAGGGUGCAACACAGAGGCUCCUCCUGAAUGUGGUCUCUUACUCUUGGGUUUCCCAGCCUCCAGAACCAUAAGCCAAAUAAAUUUCUGUUCAUUGUGAGUUACCCAAUCUGAAGUAUUUUGCUCUAGCAGCAGAAAGUAGACCAAGACAAAUAAAUUCCAUAAAUUUUCUAUGCAGAAUUUAGGUAGACUUAUACAGAGGACAAACAAUUCAUCCAACUUAGAGGUUCUCAGGUGUAAUCCCCAGGCCAGCAGCAUUAACAUCACCCUGAAACUUCUUAGAAGUGUAAGUCCUGAUCUACUGAGUCAGAAACUUUGAGGGUAGGGCUUACAAUUUGUGUUUUAAUAAACUUUUCAAACGAUUCUGGGGCUGGGGUGUAGAUCAGUGGCACAGUGCCUGCCUGGCAAGCAUGAGGUCUUGAGUUCCGUUCCUGGUACCAAAAAAAAAAAAAAAAAAAAAAAAACCUCAAAUGAUUGAUUUUGAUGCGCACUAAAGAUUGAGCGCUAUCGUUUUAGCUUUUAUACAGGAAAUCUAAAGUUAAGGUUAGAAAUGACUAUCUGAAUGAAAGUAAACCCGGAAGUUUUACUUCUAGUUUUCAGGUCAAAUCAUAUCCAUCAUCAAAUGUUCCUCAGAUGCCCACUUUGGAAGUUUCUACUGGACUAGGUUGUAAUUAACCAAUUAUAAAAUCAUGACCACUAAAUGCUGCAUUAGUAAGAUUACACAGAGAUCUUACCUUUAAUAUUUUAGUGAGAUUCCAUCUUUUGUAGGUUCAUCCACAUAAAACUUAUUUCGCAGUAGCUGAAAAAGGAAGUUUUCCAAAGAUUAUCAUCUAUGAAUACCCUUCUUUGAGGCCCUACAGAAUCCUUCAAGGUAAGUCUGAUAGAGCCUUUAAAAUAUUUCAUGUUCGACGUUAAUGACAUUCUGAAGAAGACAUAAGAUUAUUGAAUUAAUCAGGAUUCUACAGAGAAAUAAAACUAGUAGGAGAUGGAAAGCAGAUUUAUUUAAUGGGAUCGGCUUACACAAUUUUGGAAACUGUGUAAGUUUAAAAUUUGUAGGCCAAGGCUGAAGGCUGGAAAUUUUAGGGGAGUGAGUUGAUGAUGUGGUCUGAAGGCAGAAUUUUUUUCUCCCUCAUGGAAUCUUUAGUUUUACUUUCAAAACUGAUUGGGUGAGGCUCCCUUAGAUCAUCAAGGAUAAUCUUUUUAAAGUCACUUCCCAGCAGCAUCUAGAUUAUUCUCUAGCCAUCUAGAAUAUUGUUUAGCCAAGUUACACAUAAAAUUAACCAUCACAGUUAUCUUCCAAUUCUGUUUUUCAUGUAGCUAAUUUCAGUAGUUAGUUUUGGCUUUGGAGGUUUUCAGUGACAAAUUUUAUAUUGUAGAUUGAUUUUUCCCAACUUAUCUAAUACACUUUUGUGUUUCUCUUCCUUCAUAAGAUAAAAUAUGUUUACAAAGUGGUUUUUCUCAUGCAAAAUGUGAAUAUGACUUCUUCACCUUCCCCCUUUAUAUCAUGUAAUGUAC
rnacentral:lncRNA from 1 species